AAUGCCGCAUAUGUAUGUGACUCGACGAGGGUCGUAUAUGAAAGGAGUAAUCCGUCUGAUGAUGAGCCCGCGUCCGAUUAGCUAGUUGGUAGGGUAAAAGCCUACCAAGGCGACGAUCGGUAGGUGGUCUGAGAGGAUGAUCACCCACAAUGGGACUGAGACACGGCCCAUACUCCUACGGGAGGCAGCAGGUGGGGAAUUUUGUGCAAUGGGGGAAACCCUGACACAGCGACACCGCGUGAGCGAAGAAGCCCUUUGGGGUGUAAAGCUCUGUCAACGGGAACGAAAAAAAUGACGGUACCCGUGGAGGAAGCAUCGGCUAACUCUGUG
rnacentral:rRNA from 1 species